UACGUAGGGGGCAAGCGUUGUCCGGAAUCAUUGGGCGUAAAGAGCGUGUAGGCGGCCAGAUAAGUCCGCUGUGAAAUCUCGAGGCUCAACUUCGAGCUGUCGGUGGAAACUGUCUGGCUAGAGUCCGGAAGAGGAGAAUGGAAUUCCUGGUGUAGCGGUGAAAUGCGUAGAUAUCGGGAGGAAUACCAGUGGCGAAGGCGACUUUCUGGGAUAUUCCUGACGCUGAGGAGCGAAAGCGUGGGGAGCAAACGGG
rnacentral:rRNA from 1 species